GGUGGCGUGGCUCAGCGGCGACGGCAGCAGACUGUAAAUCUGCGACAGAGAAACACCGGAGGUUCGAGUCCUCCCGCCACCACUA
rnacentral:tRNA from 1 species